UUGAACGCUGGCGGAAUGCUUUACACAUGCAAGUCGGGCGGCAGCGCGGGGGCAACCCUGGCGGCGAGCGGCGAACGGGUGAGUAACAUAUCGGAACGUACCCAGACGUGGGGGACAACUAGUCGAAAGACUAGCUAAUACCGCAUACGUCCUGAGGGAGAAAGCGGGGGAUCGCAAGACCUCGCGCGUUUGGAGCGGCCGAUAUCUGAUUAGCUAGAUGGUGGGGUAAAGGCCCACCAUGGCGACGAUCAGUAGCUGGUCUGAGAGGAUGGUCAGCCACACUGGAACUGAGACACGGUCCAGACUCCUACGGGAGGCAGCAGUGGGGAAUUUUGGACAAUGGGGGAAACCCUGAUCCAGCCAUUCCGCGUGAGUGAAGAAGGCCUUCGGGUUGUAAAGCCCUUUCGGCAGGAACGAAACGGCGGAAUCUAAUACAUUCCACUAAUGACGGUACCUGAAGAAGAAGCACCGGCUAACUACGU
rnacentral:rRNA from 1 species